rnacentral:tRNA from 1 species
UGAAGUAUAGCCAAGUGGGUGAAGGGCCUCCGGUUUUUGGUGCGGAUAAUCAAAGGUUCGAAUUCCUUUUACUUCAA